rnacentral:rRNA from 1 species
AUCUAAGCACGAAACUUGCCCCGAGAUGAGUUCUCCCUGACUCCUUGAGAGUCCUGAAGGAACGUUGAAGACGACGACGUUGAUAGGCCGGGUGUGUAAGCGCAGCGAUGCGUUGAGCUAACCGGUACUAAUGAACCGUGAGGCUUAACCUUACAACGCCGAAGGUGUUU